rnacentral:rRNA from 1 species
AGAGUUUGAUCCUGGCUCAGAACGAACGCUGGCGGCAGGCUUAAUACAUGCAAGUCGAACGGUUGUAGCAAUACAGCAGUGGCAGACGGGUGAGUAACACGUGGGAACCUACCUAGGGGUACGGAAUAACUCAGGGAAACUUGUGCUAAUACCGUAUACGACCUUCGGGUGAAAGAUUUAUCGCCCCUAGAUGGGCCCGCGUUGGAUUAGCUAGUUGGUGAGGUAAAAGCUCACCAAGGCGACGAUCCAUAGCUGGUCUGAGAGGAUGAUCAGCCACACUGGGACUGAGACACGGCCCAGACUCCUACGGGAGGCAGCAGUAGGGAAUCUUGGACAAUGGGCGAAAGCCUGAUCCAGCCAUGCCGCGUGAGUGAUGAAGGCCUUAGGGUUGUAAAGCUCUUUCGCCAGGGAAGAUAAUGACGGUACCUGGAUAAGAAGCCCCGGCUAACUUCGUGCCAGCAGCCGCGGUAAUAC